rnacentral:misc_RNA from 1 species
UCACGUAUCCACGUACAAACCACUGUGAACUGUUCUCCCUUUCGGAGGUGCUGGGUUUGGCUAGAUCGAUAUCGCUUCGCUGUCGUGAUAGAAGUGUGGUCUAGCCGUUCCUGAACUCGCUUCAGGACGCCUGUAUCUUUGAAAGCGGUUAUUAUCACGCAACCUUAAACUUUAUUAACCCCUUUAACCUUUAUGAACUGAAAUUAAGCUUGAUGCGAAGGAGUGCCUCGGCAUUCUUGAAGUCAAGUCUUUAUUACGAAACUAUGAA